UUGAGGUUUUUUUUUUCUUUUCUUUUUUUUUUUUUUGGUACAUUCUGGAUCUGAAUGCCCUGAGGAGCAGGUAGCAUUAAUAUCUUCUGUCAGUCUCCUAUUCUGUAGGCUCUCUCUUCACACUCCUUGUUUCUUUAGGGCAGCUCUGGUUUUGAAGCCUUAGUUUCAAAACUUUGAAAGGGUUAUAGGUGUACACAAACACAUCCCUGCCAUCCUUUGGGUGGCUAGAAUUCCAGGGCCAGGUAUCUCUAAGUUGCCUUGUCUGUUUACCCUCAUGGGCCACACAGUGUCAUUCACGUGUGUUACAGUGUGACGAUUAUGGAUACACUGUAGCUCUGGAGCCUGCAUCUCUGUGCAGCAUCAGACACUCUGGUCAGUAUUCCAGGCUUUUCAGACUGUGUGGUCUAUCACUGCUACUCCCCUCUGCCAUUGUAGCACAGAAGUGCCUCAGACGUGGUGGAUGUUGUGUUCAAUAAAACCAGAACAGGACCAUAUCUUCCAUCUUUUGCAUUAGACUGCAGAGAUGACAUACCCUUUGACUUAAUCGUAGUGGCAAACUAUCUUCCAAUCUGCUGCCUAGGCCUAUGUAUCUUUCUGUAGUGGCUUCCUGUGCGCUUCUCCUGUGUGAGCAUUAAGGAAGAGGAUGGUGGAGCCCCUCCAAGAAGGAACUUCAAUUUUGAGUGACAGGUGGGACACUGAAAGGGGAGUACAGUUGUGGUUAAAAAUUGAAAUAUAAUGCGGGGCUCAGAAAGGUUCGCAGUGAUAGCCCUCAGAGGAGUGAAGUGCUGAAAUGAUUGGGGAACGCUCUAGGGAGAAAGCAGCUCUAGAGGCUUAGAAGAGGCGGGACAGUUCCUUCAGGAAAUGAAUAGCUCAGAUGGUGGGUGAAGUUGUGUUAUGGAGGGAACUUGAAUGUCAUCACAUAUGCAUGGAGGCCAGCUUGGGAAGGAUCUGAGGUGCCACAGAGUGCAGGCAUUUUUCUCUGGGCAGUGAGCAGCCAGUGGAUGUUGUAUUCAAUGGGGUAAAGUCACAGAUGCAUUCAGAAAUAUCACUCUGGUCUUGGGAAAUCGCAUCUGUACAAAUUAUCUCUCUUAAGUUUAGUCUAGACUUUUUCACCAAGGGAUGGGUAACUCUUGGUCCUGGGGUUGGAAAGCAAAACCCAGAGAUUUGGAUGGUUUUUCUAGCCAUUGGCUUUAGUGGGUCAGUUGAGUGCCUCAUUUUUGUUUUUGAAAUGACAGAGCUUGACAAAUCUUCCACUUCAGGCUUUUUUGGCCUGUGAUCCUGAAGAUCAUUAGGAAGGGCAAAACAAAGUUUUAAAAACAUUUUGUCUGAAGUCUACCUUUGGUAUAGGGCCUUGGUGUGUGAUGGAAAAAUGAACAGAGACUAUGCCCCCUUGCUUUGGAAUCAAGUCACAGGGCACGGUAUUGCUGUGUGGAGCAGACUUGCUUCCCUUCUCUGUGUGCCAGGCUGGGGUGCCGCCUACAGGUGCUGGUCUGUACCCUCCAGGAGCCUGCAGAUUACUUAAGGCAGGUGGAAGCCGGUACCACUUAGGUACAUCACAGACUGCUCACGGCCAGGCCUCACAUUGUGUGGGGUGCGGGACUGCUGUGAAUCAGACCUGGCACAAGGGCCCACAAGGACUGCUCCAGGUAAACAUACUUCCUGCUCUGCAAAGUGUUUUUCCUUGGGGUUUCUAGGCAGGUUGAAAAGAGCUAUAUUCAUAGAUCUUCAGAGACCAUUGGUGACAGCCUAAGGCGCUGGGAGCUGCUUUCUCUCAGUGAGACUGUUAAUCUGUGAAGGAUUUGAAGGAAUCCUAGAGAAAACGUGCCUUGAGGCCUGUUGGCUGUGGUCUUUGGUCUUGUGCAGCGCUCUCUCUAGGAGGGGGCAUAAGUCUUGGAUUUUGCUCUUGUCUUCUCUUGGGGAUGUGGGUUCCAGGACCUGACACAGCUGUAUCACUUCUCAUCUCUUACAAGUAGUCCUUGCAUUUUUCUAGAGAAAAAAGUUUCUGGAUUGAUGGAAGAGAAAAUGACAAACUUGAGGCUGGUAUAGAUGGAGACUGGCCCUGGCUUUGGAAGACUGUAGCCUGUCCCCGGCCAAUACACCAGAUGUGGCCUUUUCUUGGCAGCCAGUUCUGUACUGUGCUGUGCUGUACUUCACAGGAAGGCUCUUGUCAGCAUUGCGAGUCACUUACAGAACUAAGGCCACACCUGGGUGACCCUGUGCUAGCCUUCAAUCUAGGCUCAAUGUCGUUUGCCCUUUCUGGGCAGGGAAACAGAUGGUCAGAAAGUUGUGGGUUAAAAUUUUUUUUCACAUAUAUAUAUAUUUUUUUAAUUGUUGAAGGAAAUGAAUCAAGAGCAGGGACAGGAGUUUAGGUGGCUAGGUAGAAUAUCUUUAAAGUUCUUCUCCUCUUGUAACUUAGAAAGUUGGAUUGUUUCUAGCUCUUUCCCCUCUUCUGGGUGGCUCACCCUCUCCACCCUUCCAGAUCUAAUGCUGGAUCUCUGCUGGUGGUCUGUGACAAGACAAGUGAUUCAGCCACACUGGUCUCCUUGACAUACUAUCCACAUCUCUUUGGACCCUGCAUCAACUUAUUGCUUCCCUCAGCUGUAGCUUUGGCCACCCCAGGUGGGCCCAUGUGUGAGGUGCCAUAUAAAAGCCAGGUGAGCCUUGCUUCCAACAUUCUCUGCUGUCACCAGAUAUGCUGCUAUAGGAUGCAUUCCUUUCCCUCCAUCACCUGUUGAGAUUGGCCCUAUGUAACCCACAUCUUUGGGGUACUGAAUGCUGCUUUUCUCCUGGCUCAUUUAGUAUGGCAGCUUUUCAGCCAUGGGAUCUGCCAUGGCUGUGAGAGUGGUGCUUAGCUCUGUUUACUUCAUUUCAUGGAGAGGAAGGCUCAUCUGUAGAAACUGGGCUAGGGAGUGAUUGUGGGUGUCCUCAUGGCCUGCUUGCCAUCUCGCAGGAUGAGGGUGGGCUCUGGCUGGCGAGUGGUAUCCAGAGGGACUUCUUCCAAAAGCACAUCAGGGCUCAGGUGGGCAAAGUGACUGCUCAGUCCAGGUGGGAGCAACCUGCUAUUGGGCAGACAUAUACUUUAGCCUCUACCAGAGCCCCAGAGCAUCUUUGCAUUCAGGCCUUUCACCCUGGAUCCAUCUGUCUGGCCCUGUUGUGCUAAACUUUUGGUUCUUAAGUGGUUUGUUAGGGCCCAGCCACUCCUUUCGGAGACUGGUCUUCUUACUCCAUGCUAGGGCAAGCGCACUGCCAGGAACAUUGAGGUUCUUGGGCCCAAAUGCAGUGAUAUCCUUGGGGGUUUGGCCUGGGGUUGGCCUCAAGCCAUCAGGCCCCCAGCCCAACUGCUGUGGUAGGGUCUUCCUGCCUUGUGUUGUAGUGUUCUGGUGGCAGGGCCUGUUAGGCUUGCUUCUCACCCACUCACAAGCAGACAGAGCUCUGACUGGGAAGGAGUGGAGAAGUAAGUAUGAACUGAAGCUCUGGGCUGUUAAGAUGGGGCUCCCUCUUAAGGAAUAGUAGGGUGGUCUGGCUUCACUUCAGCCCUUCCUCAGCUCCAGGACCAGGGUACAGGAGGCAGCCAUGUGUGGUCGUGGGUAGAAAAACUUUCCCCAUCACACGGUUACACACGUGGCAUUCAACACCUGGCUGUAGCUCGCUCUGGUCUGGUGAUGAAAUUAGCUUUUAGAAGUCUAUUUAAAAUAUCCAUAUCUAUUUAUUGUGUUUUCCUGAAUACACAAGUGUAAAUAGCAUAAUUUUGCAGUGCAAAGUCCUUGGCAAUAACUUUAUGUUGUGUGUUAUGUUAAAAAACUUUGGAAACCACAUCUACCAUGGACUGUCUGCCCCACUGGGGCAAUGGUCACAUGUAGAACUGAACUUGACACCGUCAGCGUGGUUGAAGCAGCAGCCUGCAUGUGUGGACUCACCAGUGCCUCGCCCAGAGAUGCCUGGCCUUCACCCAAAGGGACCCUGCUGCCCCGACUUCCACAGGCAGCACCCACACUGUGGCUACUUUGUGCUGAGUAUGUUGGACUCUGCUGUAGACUGAUAACUCUUGUCUGGCUGCUGCAGUUUGUCUGUAAUGCCCUGACAUGUUGCAUUACCCCUCUUUGGAUGAAUAAAAAUAAAUGCUUCUGUGUUAAUGGCAGUGGACUGAACCAUUCUGUGCAGGACCCACCCUGGCGGAACAGAGACUCUGGCUCAAAAGAUUCAAGUGCUGGCCCCUCUCACCUGGCCUGCAAGACCAGCUCAGUACGUCUCACAAGAUCUUCCCUCACAUACAGGAUGAAGGGCUCCUGACAAAGCCAGUGGGACCAGAGCUUAUUUCAUGUUCUUGUCUGUGGUCCUUAAAAUUCUGCUCGUAAGUGAAAAACUUCAAGCUGGCAGCCUGGCUCAGUGAGUGGGAGGUCAAGAGUGCGCCUGGAGCUUUUCACACCCCUCACAGUUAUGUCCUCAGGACCAUCCCAGGGGUUGGCAAGCCUCAGAUGAGAUCAGGAACCCAAGGCUCAGAGAUAAAGGGACUUGCCUAAGAGCAUCAAGCUUCUAGAAGGCAGCAGCAAUGGGACUCCAAACCUGGAGCUCUUGCUUCUGCUCCUGCCAGUGCCUGCUCUGCGGUGCCCCUGCAAGGUUCCUGUAAAUGAGCAGCCCUAGGAAGCAGAGCCCAAGACCAGGGUGAAACUCCUGCCUCUGCCUGCAGACUCAGUUAACAUCUUAUGCACCACGGUGGAGCACCUGGGUUGUGCACUGAGGUUUUCUCCUGUGUCACCACUGCCAGAGAUGAUGAUCACUACUGGGACUCUCGGAGGGACAGAAGCACCAGGUGAACUGGGUCUUCUAACUCAGGAGUGCCCACCCUGAAGAAGAAAGGAAGGGGAGAGUUGAAAGGAAUGAAGUUCUUUUGAAAACCUGAGACCCUGAAGUCAAAAGAAAGGUGAGUGGACCCACAAUUCUCACUGUGGUGACAGGAAGAACUGAGCUGAUUUUUGGUGAUGGUUCCAAACAAUCAAGAGAGAUGACUAACUUAGAAAGGAAUGUCUCCUGACCCUGUAGAUGCUGGAGGAGGCUGCUGGGCCUGCUGAGGACUGGGAGCUCUAGGUUUCAAUCUGAGGGCUCUGCCUCUGACUAGGUGGGUGACUGUGUGUAAGAUAUUUAAUUCAUUUUUGCCUCAGCUUCCUGAUCAGUAAAACAGGCAUCAGGAUAUCCCUUCUACAAUCUGGGCUGUUUGAAGAUUGAGCAAGAAGGUGUAUAUAAAGCACUCAGUGAAAGGCCUAGCACUUGUCAAUGUGUCAGAAUCAUUAGUCAUCGCUCCUUUCUCCUACUUAUUAUGGGGACAGGUGGUAUCACAGGAAGAGGCCUGGCAUUCCAAUUAGAUGGGUCUGAGUUAGACUCAGGUCUGCUUCUUUCUGGGUGCUUCAAGUAUCAAGUUUUAUGACUUAACAAAAAAUUCCCAUCCAUCAAUGGAGCCAAUGUUACUAAACUUAAAAGGCUGAGGCAAGGAGAAGAGGUAUCAGAGUUUAGUGAAGUAUUUAUAAAUAAAUGGUGCCUGGCAGCACAGAUCCUCACUAAAAGGGAACAUCUAUUAUUAUUAUUCAUUUCUGAUGUCAGGUAUAUGACUUAGUUCUUUUGACUACUUUAUCAGGAUAAAGACACCUUGAAAAAGGUUUCACACUGUUCAGGGUCAGGUUUCAAGUGUUAUUACUAGUGUCAUCUACACUCUAAUACAUAAGAUUUCAUAUACUUUUGGUGGAUGUCAAGAACUUCCUGAAGUUCAUGGACUCUACAGUGUCAACAUAUAGAAAGUGAAACCCCAGUAAACACUCAGCAGCCUGAACCUAUCCCUAUCCCUAAGAAACCAACAAGCAGAACAGUAAUUCUAGGAGCCUGGUAAGAAAAUCAAAGGUAGAAGCCAACAGACUACAGCCCAAGGUCAAAUCAAAUCCAUUGCCUAUUUUUAAAAUACCAUUAAUUAAUUAAUUAAUUAAUUUUUUAGUGUGGUGCUGUGGAUCAAGCCCAGUGCCUCAUGCCAGUGGAUCAAGCCCAGUGCCUCGUGCUCUAUCACUUACUUCACUGGCCCCUAUCACGUAUUUCUGUAAAUAAACUUUUACUAGAAAAGAGCCAUGUUGAUUCAUUUCCAUCUUGUUUGUGGCUGCUUUUACACUGAUGUCAUAAUUCUUAGUAGCAACAGAGAUCAUAUGGUCCACAAAACCUUAAAUACUUACAAUCUAUCCCUUUCUAGAAAAAAGUUUUGCUAAGCCUGAACUAAGCCAUGAAUGAGAACCUGUGCUUUAUCCAAGGGAAGCUUGCAAUAUAAGAAAACAGAAAAGCACCCUGCCAGGAAAAACAAUCAUCUCAAAUUUUUCAGGUUAGGAGAAGCAAAGGAGAAGAGAACAGGGGCAGGGUGUAAACUACUGAUUACACAUUGUUCAGGCACUGAACUGUAUUCCAAUCAGCAAUGGUUAUUCAAUUGGUACAAAAUACACCAGAUAACAAAAUCAUUUCUUGUCUUGGGGUUGGGGGAAGUUAUGUGGAUAGCCUCAGAAUCAGUCAAAAGGUCUCUUAAUCCCAUGAUGCCUAGGAGCUGUGUACAGGAAGAGAGGAAUAUGGUGAGGAGGCUUAGGGGACAACCAGGAUACCCUGGGGAAGGAGUGACACACAAUCAACAAGCAAGCUGUUAUCAGAAGCUCUGCAGGUAACUGGAGAUUAAGCAAUGAACUGCAAGGAUUCCAGUCGCUGAAGAGAAGUAUCUCUGUGAUCUUUCCUUUCAGACCUGUCACACUUACAUUAUCCAGGUCCUUCCGCAGAGCAAUCUUGCUAGUCACCAGCUCAUGAGCCAGGUCAUCGUUUUCCUGUUCCAACCUCAUGUUAGCUUCUUGUAGCCGCCUAUUCUCCCGCUGAAGGGCAGAGAGAAACCAGUUAUAGACACAACAAAAUCAAACGGAAACCACAAUUUCUCAGAGCUAAACCUCAAAAUGAAUUUCUGAGUCCUAUGGAAAUAAUAAAGAGAUGUGGCUGGUCCUAAUGUGUCUUCAAAUAAACAAUCUCCUAUUUUCUAUCUCCACAAAUUAAUACUUAACAGAUUCCAGUGACCUUGUCAAGCAGCUAUUUCUUAUUAACUCUGAUGAAAGGCCACUGAAUUGCAACAAACUAGGCAGUUGGUUUAGAGCAAAACAGAUCUUGCUUUCUCAUUUGCAAACUCAAACUGCAACUUGAGUUCAGAAACAGUGGAACUGAAUUUUAAAAAGUAUCUGACAUGAAAAGUGAAAAGUUCUUACGUCAUCUAGCUCAUAAGCAAACAAACCUCAAAUCGCUCAAUGGGGUCUUCUCGUUGGGCCUGCUGUUCUCUCAUGUUGUGAUAUUCUUUUUCAUAUUUUUUCAGCUUCUUCUGACCAAUCUGUAGAAUAAACCACAGCACAAAUUAAGAAGAAUCAGAACAUGGUGAUGUUUCAGUACCUGUGAUGAAGACUAACUCUCCACUCAACCUGGGUGAUUCCAGAUACUACAUAAGUGGUGUUUCCCAUUUUGGAUAUCAUCACAGCAGGAAAAGUGAAACCUAGUAAACGCCCAAACCGUAACAAGAAUUCAACUUUGCAGCCCAGAACCCUGUUGGGGAUAUUUGGUUCCUAAGGUCUUCACUGACAAGUAUUCAAAUAAACACUGUACAGAUGGCCCCUUCAGAGUUCUGGGUUCUAGUUGCCUCUAGUAAUAAUAAUAAUAAUAAAUUACCAUUUUAUUUAGUACAUACAAACAGCGUUGCUAAAUUCUAUAACAAGGAGUUAAAGAAUUAUCCUCAUAUAGGCAGGUAAUUGAGCCAUAUGGAAGUUAUACAACUUGACCAAGGUCACUCAACAAGGGAGUGGCAGAUCUGGAAUUUGAGGCCAGUAUGUUGAACUCCAUUUGAAGUCCAAGCUGCAGCCCCUUCAUUCUCCUUCCACUUGUCCAUCCCUUUUCCUGUCUACCAGCUCCUUCUGUGCUACUUCCAAAAAGGCACAAUACCCUUUGACUUUAAGCACAUCAACCUGUGGGCCACUGCACUGAGAAGCCCUUUUCCCCAACCAACUCUUGUCCUCUUUCUCUCAAGCCUUUUCUUACCAACCACAGGCUUGUAUCUUCCACUCCACAGCUUCACAUCCUCCUUACCUACUGUCUCUCAAUCAGGCUUCUGCUGAGUGCUCAGGAGAAAAGUGGUUCUUUCUCACACCAUCCUAGUGGUCCUACCGCUUCCCUGCUCGAACUUUGCAACUCCUGGAUUUUCAUGCUUCAAUGCGGCAAACACUCCUUUUCCUUCUAGGAAACUUGUCUCUCUUUUUCUAUUUUCUUGGCUCUCCAACUUCCUAUCAGCUUUCCUCUCUUUUUUACUGGUUGGCCCCCUCUCUUUCUCCAGUCCAGAUGCGAUUUUUUUUUCUUUCUGAAUUAUCCAUGUUAACCUAUCAUGAUUUGCAAUUCUCUUUUGUUUGAUUCCCUCUUUUAAACUACUAUCCAUUUCAUAUGGUGUUUUUUAAAUUAUAUUUUUUUAAAAUUAUGAGAUAUAACAAAUAGAAAAGUGAUAACAGGCAUGUAGAGUUUAAAGAAUGACUAUAAAGCCAACAUUUUUCCCUUCUCAAAGCUUCAGUUGUUAGCAACGAACAGCUGAUCUGCUGUUGGCUCCCAGGUCCAGGAACCAGAAGCUAGUCUAGCUCAACUUUUUUUUUUUUUUCCUACAGAUUAAAAACAGAGACUUCAAAGGGGAUGAGAUGGGUCCAGAUUUGCAGCAUGUUCGUGUGGCUUCUCCAGUGCCCUGUUCUGUCCCCAUUUCUGUCAUCUUCAAGCAGCCCAGUGUUCUUACUCCUACUGGCUCUGUGGAUGCCUCUUUAGUUGGAGGCUCACAGGUCUUCCUCAGCUGGAGCUCUCCUCUGAGGACGUGCCUGCUGCAGGAGAGCAGGAGGCCAGGAAGACAGCCCUAUGCUCUGGCUGCAGUCUGGAGAAAGAUGCCUAUCAAACACUUAUGUUCUCGGCGGACACAACAUCUUUGUUGGUAUGUGGUGCUGCUGAGGAUCGAACCCGGGCCGCACGCAUGCUAGGCGAGCGUGCUACCGCUUGAGCCACAUCCCCAGCCCCAAGUCCAAGUCUUUUCGUUAUAUCUUCUUAGAGUAUCAACUGAAUUCCUCUCCACAGUACACAAUUACUUAAGUGUUUACUUAAUAUGCUACUUCUUUUGCUAACUGCUGUACCUCCUCCAGUGCCUAGCUCAAUGCUUGGAACACAGUUGGGACUCAGUAAUCAGAUGUUAAAUAAAUCAAAGGUAAAAGAGUGAAGGCCUUCCUUUCCACCUAGUAAGGGUGCAGUAGAGACACUGACAUUUCCCACUAGUUGAGACAACCACAUACAGUGCUCACUGCUACAUAUUAGCAAUAUGAAAUGUACCUAGCUUCCCAUAUGCAAACUUCACAAAGGCAGGAAUUUCAUUCAUUGUGAAAUUCCUAAUGCCUGUCCUAUAGUAAGCAUGAAGGCACUUAAUGAACAAAGAUAAAGUCUCUACUCUUAGAACUUCCAAGAUUCAGUCAGGUGUAGCAGCCAGGCCUGUAACCCCAGCUAUUCAGGAGGCUUGCAAGUUCAAGCCUGGGAAAUUUAGCCAAACUCUGUCUCAAAAUAAGAAAUAAAAAGGGUUGGGGAUGUAUCUGAGUGGUGGAGCACUUGCCCAGCAUGUGCAGGGCCCUGGAUUCCAUCCCCAGUACUAUAAAUAUACAUGAGUAAAUAGAUUAAUGGAUUGAAGGGGAAAAAAUGCCCAAGAUUCAUUUUUGUCUCUUACUUAUAAAAAAUGACACUAUAACUGAGUUAAGGAAACAAGAAAAGCUGUAGAUUCAGCUUCCGAGCUCUGAGUCACACCCACUGCUAGCUGACUUCUUUCUGAAGGCUUUGGAAGCCAUAGGUUCACACAGAGAUACUUUUGCUCUCAAAUAAAAAUAAAACUUGAAAUUCAAUCCUGUUCUGUUUAAAUGUACCUUCACAGGGAAAAGAACCUUAACAAAUUCCUGGGAGAAGACUGGAUUUGUAAUUUGGGUAAACCAAUUUUAUACCCCAGCGCAAUUAGCCUAGUGGCUCCUAACACUGUUAGAGACAGCACCAAUUUGAAAGUCUCUUCAGCACAUGGCUCUUCCCUUUUUGAACACAGAAGUCAACCUUCCCUCCCUCCCCACAACAAAGUGCUCUACAUCCCAUUUCUGAGGGCUAAUGGGCCCCCUGAGGUCAAUCCAUGGUCCCAGGUUAAGAAACCUUGAAUUAGGAGGUAGAGAUUUGUACAUGCCAGUUUGAUAUUUUGGUGCAAAUUCAGCCUAAAACACCUCUCCUUUGGUCACUCAUGGGUCAUAAAUCUGUCAUAGGAAAUUGACAAUGUGCUCUUAAACUAUAUGCUACUUGUCCUAGGGAAGCUGGUCCCUGUUCAGCCUCUGAAAAAGGUAGUGCCACCAAGGAUGGAAAAAGAAAGUGUCUACUGGUGAGUGUGGGAGAAAGGUGGUACAGUCUGUUCACUUAAGAGCUGAACUAGGGCUGGGCAGGGUGGUGCAUGGAGGCUGAGACAGGAGGAUUGCAGGCUCAAAGCCAGCCUCAGCAAAACUGAGGUGCUAAGCAACUUAGUGAGACCCUGUCUCUAAAUAAAAUAC